UACAGAGGCCCCAAGCGUUACUGAGAAUCACUGGGUUUAAAGGGUGCGUAGGUGGCGCGUUAAGUCCGUUGUGAAAUCCCUGGGCUCAACCCAGGAAUUGCUUCGGAUACUGGCGUGCUUGAGGCUAGUAGGGGUCACUGGAACUGACGGUGGAGCGGUGAAAUGCGUAGAUAUCGUCAGGAACGCCGAUGGUGAAGACAGGUGACUGGGCUAGUUCUGACACUGAGGCACGAAAGCGUGGGGAGCGAACGGGGA
rnacentral:rRNA from 1 species